ACGGUUCAGUAACACGUGGACAACCUACCCUUAGGUCGGGGAUAAACCCGGGAAACUGGGUAUAAUACCCGAUAGUCCUCGGAUGCUGGAAUGCACCGAGGUCUAAAGCUCCGGCGCCUAAGGAUGGGUCUGCGGCCUAUCAGGUAGUAGUGGGUGUAGCGUACCUACUAGCCUACGACGGGUACGGGUUGUGAGAGCAAGAGCCCGGAGAUGGAUUCUGAGACACGAAUCCAGGCCCUACGGGGUGCAGCAGGCGCGAAAACUUUACAAUGCUGGAAACAGCGAUAAGGGGACCUCGAGUGCCAGGUUACAAAUCUGGCUGUCGUGAUGCCUAAAAAGCAUUGCAUAGCAAGGGCCGGGCAAGACCGGUGCCAGCCGCCGCGGUAACACCGGCGGCUCGAGUGGUAACCGCUAUUAUUGGGUCUAAAGGGUCUGUAGCCGGCCGGAUAAGUCUUUUGGGAAAUCUGGCAGCUUAACUGUCAGGCUUUCAGAGGAUACUGUCUGGCUCGAGGCCGGGAGAGGUGAGAGGUACUUCAGGGGUAGGGGUGAAAUCUUGUAAUCCUUGAAGGACCACCAGUGGCGAAGGCGUCUCACCAGAACGGACCUGACGGCAAGGGACGAAAGCUAGGGGCACGAACCGGAUUAGAUACCCGGGUAGUCCUAGCCGUAAACGAUACUCGCUAGGUGUCGGCCACGGUGCGACCGUUGUCGGUGCCGUAGGGAAGCCGUGAAGCGAGCCACCUGGGAAGUACGGCCGCAAGGCUGAAACUUAAAGGAAUUGGCGGGGGAGCAC
rnacentral:rRNA from 1 species